AUUUAAAAUAUUUUUCGUACGCAAUGCCGUAUUGCAAUGGAUUUUUAUCGAAAGUUCGAAACAAAAUUACUUAUUAUAUGGAACGUUUAGCAAACCGUCAUCGUCACAAUCAUUCAAUGAUUACCCAUUACAGGAGAAGGAACUACUUGGUAUAUAAUUGGAAUAAUAUUGCAGAUUCAUUCCAUAACGAUGUAUUCAAACGCUUUUCGACAAUAUUGGAAAGGAGAGGAAACAUUAAAAAGUUAGUAUUUAUUACCAUUUGGAACAAAACAUCGUUGAAUUCAGUAAGAAGCCGAGUUGCGAAGUCUUAUAGAACUAUUGACCUUGCCAAUGGCAUUUCACGGCUACAAAGCAAUAGUGAAUUAAUAGUUUAUUUUAUGCCUCAAUAUUUUUCUAAUAGCAGUGAAAUUUGGGUUGAAGAAAUUUCGAUGCACUCAACGCCAACAAUUCAGUUAAAUGAAAUAAUUGCCGGGCUUGCUAAUUUACAACAGAUCAUCAGCAUGACUAAAAAACACGGCUUUGUGGAGGAUGCCACAGAAGUAGAUAGUCGAUACUAUAAAAUAACCUUUAGGAGGCGAGACUUUUAAGGGUGUAUUUGAAAGCAAUCAACAGAAGUUAUAUAUUGACGUCUACCAAAUUUAUUAAGUCAUUCUUGGAUUCUUAAAAGUUUCAUUCGAUGAUAUUGAAAUCAAAAGGAACCCAAUGAAACAGACAUACUAAUUUUUCUGCACAUACACGUAUUCAUUAUGACUUUCCUGAGCCCAACUGGUGAAAAAAUAUGACUAAUUAGAUUGCUAUACACGUAUAUUAGUUAAAAAGUUUUAUUUUCAAGUAGC